GGUGGACUACGACUCCCAGGAAGCCUCGCGCGGGCGAGCCCCGAACCCGAGGACGCGGCGAGCGCGGCGCCCGGCCCUCUCCGGCAAGGACUGUCAAUGGAGGCGCGGGUGGUGGGAGCAAGAACAUGGCUGCACCUGGGGCCUGCGCGGCCGCCUGGGUGGGGGAGGGGAGCCGGGGCACGGGGGCGCAAAUCUAGGCCGGGGGUAGCCCCCGCCCCCUCACUGCCCCGAUGCAGCCGGCCUCAGCCACCGUCCAGGACUCGCACCCACUCUUGCACCCCAGAUUCCCUGCCGAUUGCGAGGCCGGAACUCGGCAGAGGCCGGGGAGCCCCAGCCGGCCUGCCGCUCUCCGUGCUCCGCCAAGGGACUUCCUCCGCGCUGCACCACCCUUCGGGACACAAAGAACUUCUGUUAGUUUUGAAAAGCUUGCCUCAAAAGCGUCCGAAAGAGACUGUUGCCCCAACUUUGGACGGGCGACGGGAGGGGACGCUCCUGUUUUUAUUUACCGCCCCUCACCCCAGGCUUGCUUUCCUCACGCCCCCUCACUCAACAUUUAGAAGGAAAGUUGAGGGAAAGCCACCGAGUGAGAGCAGAAAACCUGCCGUGUAGCCCGUUUUGUUCUGUCAACCGCGAAGAAAGGUUACCGAAACCUCCCCCCCCCCGCGACUAAUUCUCUUGCUUCUCAACUUGAGCUCUCGAAUUUCGAAAAGGAUGAGACAUUGCUGUUCGCCUAAGCGAAACUCCAAAGUUUACCAAACUCGAGCCCCGAGGGCUUAGACAGUUCUGUAAAGCACAAGAUCGAGUGAUUUUGCGAUUUUUACCCCCCAGCGGAGAUGGGGGGGACCACGCCGGCCAUCCUCCCCCUCCCCCUCCCCCUCCUCCUCGGUAGGUGGCGACCACGGCGCUUUUUCCAGCCUUUGUCGCUGGAAAGAAAACUUUCCGAGCAGCCAGGCUUUUGAUGUAGGUCCAAGACCUUCCCUUUGACUCUUCGUUCCAGAUUGGCGUUCCCCAUCUUUCUUGCAAUAGACCGCACCCAUAAGGCAGCCGAAUCUAGAAUUUCCAUGCUGGGAUUCUUUAAGAUAGAGGGAGCCUUUAAAGAUCCCUGCAGAAGCGGUCCGAUUGCAGAUUUCCACAUUUUUACGAUUUCCCCUGCAACGUUUUUACAGGCAUUUUGUCCCCGCCUAACCCGAUUGUGACUCUCCUUUGUCGACUCUCUCCAAAGCGUUCAUUUCGUUUUCAUGAAAAGUUUUCUUUUUGCACUCGUAUUUCAUUAACAUACUGGACUAUUAAAUUCCGUAUUCCCAGUAGCACGUAAAAGUGACAUCUAUGUAAGGAACAAACCAAAUUUUGAGAAAGUCUGCAAUUGAGCUGAUGGGAGCAGUCAGCCUUCCAGGGACAAACAUUCAGCCGCUGUGAGCACCGGCUCCAUGCUGGGUGUGGAUCCCGAUGAGGGGCUUGAACUCACGACCCUGAGAUCAAAACCUGAGAUGAGAUCAAGAGGUGGAUGCUUAACCAACUGAGCCACCCAGUUACACCUGAAACUCCUUUAUAUGUAAAUGGGGAAUCAUGCUGCUAUAUGUGAGCAGCCCCGUGGAAAGGCCCAGAUGCUGGGAAAGUGAAGCCAUUGGCCAACAGCCACGUGAGCGAGCUUGGGAACAGAUUCUCCUGCCCCGAUUCCAGGAGGUGACUGCUACCCAACCAUGGCUGGAGUGCAAGCUCCUGGGACGCUCACAGCCAGAAGCACUCCUCCAGCUGCUCCUGGAUUCCUGACCCUCAGAACCAAUACUAGACAGCAGGAGGCUCCGGGUCUUGGCAAAGCACGUGGCUGAUGCUUGUUUCGUGGCCAGAUGAGCCAACGAAUUGUCUCUCCUGUGGGCUCGCGGCCUUUUGGGAAGACACCAUGGUCACUUCUACCUCCCGCCCCUGACAGCCAACCCAGGAGGCCGUGUCUCACAAACGUACCAAAGUCACACCAGGGAACCAAGGUGCUGAGGCCCUGAGGACACCCUGAGGACACCCAAGGUCCCGGAGAGGAGAAACCCCUCAGUGAAGAAACAAGCGUAAACAAGGCAGAGUGCUUUUGGUUCCUCUUCUGGCACCUCGUGUUUCUCCCAAGUCCCAUCACCUGCAUCUCAGGUGAGCUGUUUCAGGGACCUCAGUGUCGAAAUCUCGGGCCUCUGGAGUGCAAACACGUGGCCAGAAAUCAAGAAAGCGAGCUUUCGUGGCAGAACAGGCAGAGGCGCCGGUCAUGGUUCCCCCGUAAUGGAUUCCGGAGGUGGAGGUAAACCAGGGAGGAGGUGCCACGCUGAGUUGGGAAGAAAGGGAGGGGGCCGCGUGAGGAAAUGGAAGAAGGAGCCCCCAACCCCACGUGAGGGAAAGGCGGGAAAGGCGGCACAGCGCAGACAGCCCUGAAGAUGGCAUCUGAGAAGCACGAGGCAGAGACAUCACCAGGGACGUUGCCAACAGGAAUGGUACAUUCUGAGAGCCGCCGCCCUGAGACUUACCAGCCUGCAGCCCUGCCCCUCCCUGCCCCUCCACUGACCUUGUGCCUCUGUUUCCACAGUGAAAAGUAUUUUUUCCCCAAAGAGCAUUUCCCUUUCACUGAGUCACUCCAUAUGGCACCACAAAAUUAAAAUAAAAUAAGUGAAGGGCUACUGUCCCUCUCCAUCCUGGCUGGGCUAGGUGAGACACCUUGUGGUUCAGUAGACAUCCCUUAAUAAGCUUUUUAUUUUUAAGUUAUCUCUGUACCCAGAGUGGGGCUUGAACUCAUGAUUUUGAGAUCAAGAGUCACGUGCUCCACCGACUGAGCCAGCCAGGUGCCCUGUAAAGCUCUGACUGCUUAAGAGAAGAUCCUUUGCAGGAUUCUAGCAAAGCCUCUGCCCCUGGAGCUCGGGAUCACCCUCUUCUUAGCAGAAGGGAGGCACCUGGGCGGUGAGGGAGGAAGGCUGCAGGGGAAACAGGUGCUGGAGAGCCGCCCCUCCUUCCCCUCCCCUCCCGCCUCACCCUAGCUUUGUCCCUGCGCUGAUUAUUGCUUUAUUACUGUUUUCAGUCAGAUAUAAUUCCGGCAUUUUCUACAAUCUUGAUCUUUUCACUGAUACCAGAUUUUUGUACAAAGAUUUGUAUAUAAAAUGAUUAUGUACCCACCAGAAUACAUUCCCCAGCAAUUAGAACGUUUAAGAUGCAGCUCGUAACACUCCUUCUGCACAUUCCUCAUUUAUUACUUCUGAAAAUGUUUUGUGAUUUUUUUUUUUUUUGGUGGAUGUGUUUACAAAUCCAAUAACAAUCCUCAUUUAGAGUUGCAAAACACGAAGCCAUUUUGAACCCAGACAGAUGGCAGCUAAAUGAACUUUAAUUAAAGAAUGAGUGCUUUGAAUCAAAUCACUUUAAAAAGUACAGUACUCUGAGAUUCUGGAGAGGUUGCAUAAACAGCAUCUGGGUUCUUCUGCAGGAAGCAGGCCUGCUUGUGGGAACUAGGAAGGCAUCCCCAACGGAUCCGGGCUGGGCCGGCACUGGGCACCGUGGGCAGAGCGAGGGGGCGGCCGGCCGGCCAAGCGGCCCAGAGCGCAGAGCUCCCGAGACAGGAGGUGAAACCGACGUAGGCCACCUCUUGGUGCAAAGGUUGCCCUAGGGGUGGGGGUCCCCCCUUAUGCCUUCGUGCAGUGAGGUCGGGCCGAGGCGCGGGGUUUUGCUGCACAACCCGAUUAGGUGCACGCGCCUGCACAGCGGGAGUGGAAGCAGACAGAUGGCGGAGGCCCCGCAGGCCGCAGCGCUGGGGUUCCCGGGCCCUCACCGGGCGCUCCACCCCCCCGCGCAGCCGCCCGCCGGGCAGGAGCCACUUCCGGCCGUGGCAGCGGGUCUGGGCGGGGGCGGCGGCUCGUCUCUAGGCGACCGAGAGGCGCCAGCCGGCCCGGGCGCGCUGCGGGGGCGCCCGGGGAGGCGGGUGUCCGGGCGGAAGCCGCUCGUACUCGGUGGCCGCGGUGGAGAAGGAAGGGGACGGACGGUGGGCUGUGUGACGCCGGGCAAACUGAUUCACCUCUCUGAGCCAAAUGGGGACAACAACGGGACGUGAGCCUCAAAGGAGAUCAUGUGUCGGCAAGAGCCUGGUACCCCGCGUGACACGAAGCACGACUCGGCAGCUGUUCUGUUGCUACCGAAUUAAACUGAUUUCUGCAAAAGGUCUGAAAGACGAGAGACAGGAGGUGGCGGUUAGAAAAUGCGGUUUCCGCUCUUCUUGCUCAGCUGCUCCCCGCAGGUGGGCGACCCCUCUCCUGAGACGCUGCCACCGCCGCUGGAGGGCCAGUCAGCAUGUGAGGACGCGUAUGAGGACACAGUGAGGAGAUGGUUAUCUAGAAACUAGGAAGUGGGUCCUCCCCAGACCCUGAAUCUGCCACCACCUUGAUCCUGGACUUCCCAGCCUCUGGAACUGUAAGAAGUAAAUGUCUGUUGUUUAUAA